rnacentral:piRNA from 1 species
GCCAUAACUUCAGAGUCUGCCAAGAAGAC